rnacentral:rRNA from 1 species
UGGGUGAUCUGCCCUGCACCUCGGGAUAAGCCUGGGAAACUGGGUCUAAUACCGGAGAUGACCUUGGGAUGCAUGUCCUGUGGUGGAAAGCUUUUGCGGUGUGGGACGGGCCCGCGGCCUAUCAGCUUGUUGGUGGGGUUAAGGCCUACCAAGGCGACGACGGGUAGCCGGCCUGAGAGGGUGACCGGCCACACUGGGACUGAGACACGGCCCAGACCUCCUACGGGAGGCA